CCUACGGGGGGCAGCAGUGGGGAAUAUUGCGCAAUGGGCGAAAGCCUGACGCAGCGACGCCGCGUGAGGGAUGAAGGUCUUCGGAUCGUAAACCUCUGUCAGCAGGGAAGAACGGUCACUGUGCUAAUCAGCAGUGAAUUGACGGUACCUGCAAAGGAAGCACCGGCUAACUCCGUGCCAGCAGCCGCGGUAAUACGGAGGGUGCGAGCGUUAAUCGGAAUUACUGGGCGUAAAGCGCUCGUAGGCGGUAUGUCAAGUCACGGGUGAAAUCCCCGCGCUCAACGUGGGAACUGCCUUUGAAACUGGCAAACUGGAGUGUGUGAGAGGAUAGUGGAAUUCCAGGUGUAGGAGUGAAAUGCGUAGAUAUCUGGAGGAACAUCAGUGGCGAAGGCGACUAUCUGGCACAUAACUGACGCUGAGGAGCGAAAGCGUGGGUAGCAAACAGGAUUAGAUACCCGUGUAGUC
rnacentral:rRNA from 1 species